UACAGAGGGUGCAAGCGUUGUUCGGAAUUAUUGGGCGUAAAGGGCGCGUAGGCGGUGCGGUAAGUCUUUUGUGAAAUCUCCGGGCUCAACUCGGAGUCUGCAGGAGAAACUGCCGUGCUUGAGUAUGGGAGAGGUGAGUGGAAUUCCUGGUGUAGCGGUGAAAUGCGUAGAUAUCAGGAGGAACACCUGUGGCGAAAGCGGCUCACUGGACCAUUACUGACGCUGAGGCGCGAAAGCUAGGGGAGCAAACAGG
rnacentral:rRNA from 2 species